AGUGAAAUCCCUGCAGAGUAAACAUUGCGCGGACAUUCCUUAGAAUGGCACAGCAAAAUCGCAAAAGGGUUUCAUUCCAGGAAACGCUGUAUUCAUUGUUAUGAAACAAUGCCUUGAGAAGUUCCCUUGGAUAACAACAGUGUGUCACAAUGAAUCGUACCUACUGUACAAUAUGUGGCAUGCAUUAUAUGAGUGGAAUGCCAGGUAUUAUGCUAGCUCUGCCAGCUUAAUGCCGCCUUUCAAUAGAGAUUAACAGCCUCAGCCCUGAAAGCUAUUGCUGCUUCAUAAAAGACACGUUGAGCUGUGGAGGGCUGGGAGCCCUGCAGCUGCCGUGAAGUGAAACUGUCAUUAUGCCCUGCAACUCUGAGCAUGAUGGGAAUUACAGUCCAUAGCACUUGGAGAGAGAUUGGCUACAAACCCCUAUGCUCGUUACAUAGUGGGCUUCUAUUUGCUAAGCAGUGAUUUGGGGGAGAUUUGAGAACUGAAUUGCAACAUUUUAGGAAAAACAUCCGGAGUUCAGCAGAAUUUCUCAGCCUUUUCCAGAUAGAAGGGCCAUAAUAUAAAAUAAUUAAUUUGCUUCAGCGAUAAUUUCAAAACAGGACAUUAAAAAAACAAAUGAAACGACAACCACCCCUGACCACUGGAACAAGCCGCAGCUAACAUCGCAAACGCAACUCAGACGCACCCAAGACGAUGCAACUGACCACAGAGACCAAACGAAACACACACAAGCAAACAACAAAACGGUCCUGACGUCUAACGGAGAACACACACCCAACACUCAGACUAUAGUACAAAGAAAAGCUUGUGCCACUCUUUCUUGUGUGACACUCUAGCAGCAGGCAACCUUACUGCAGGCCUAUAGCAUGUAAAAACCACCAAAUCAGAAAC